rnacentral:rRNA from 1 species
CUAAGAAUAUUCCGCAAUGGACGAAAGUCUGACGGAGCGACGCCGCGUGGAUGAAGAAGGCCGCAAGGUUGUAAAAUCCUUUUGCUGGGGAAGAAUAAGCGCAGGAGGGAAUGCCUGCGUGAUGACAUGAACCGGCGAAUAAGCCCCGGCCAACUACGUGCCAGCAGCCGCGGUAACACGUAGGGGGCAAGCGUUGUUCGGAAUUACUGGGCGUAAAGGGCGCGUAGGCGGUUUUGUAAGUAGGAUGUGUAAUCCCCGAGCUCAACUUGGGAAGUGCAUCCUAGACUGCAAGGCUAGAGUACGGGAGAGGGUGGUAGAAUUCCACGUGUAGCGGUGAAAUGCGUAGAGAUGUGGAGGAAUACCAGUGGCGAAGGCGGCCACCUGGACAGUAACUGACGCUGAGGCGCGAAAGUGUGGGUAGCAAACA